AAGGACACCGCAAGAUUGAACCCAAAGCUAAGCACUUCUCCCAUUGCAAGAAAGAUCAAUCUAGUAGGCCAAACCAAACUGAUAAUUCGAAGAGACUUGCAAAGAUAACCAAUCAUACAUAAAAGAAUCUCGCGAGGGUGAGCUAACUCCAAAAACCCGUCCUCAGUUCGGAUUGCAGGCUGCAACUCGCCUGCAUGAAGCAGGAAUCGCUAGUAAUCGCCGGUCAGCCAUACGGCGGUGAAUCCGUUCCCGGGCCUU
rnacentral:rRNA from 1 species